UAAAGAUCAGGUUUGUGUCGCUUCAGGCUGCAGUGUGAAGAUGGCCAAUUAUAAAAAAAGGCAUUUCCUUCUACUGAGUGCAGGAUCAAACCCGGUGUGUGUGUGUGUGUGUGUGUGUGUGUGUGCGUGUGCGUUAGCGGCCCG